rnacentral:misc_RNA from 1 species
AAAGAACCACAGGGCUAGAGAAGACAAACUUGAGAUCAAGAAGAUGAUAAUCUAUGCAAUUGCAGAAGCAAUUAAAGAUUUAGAAGAACUGAUACAAUGACAGCAUUAAGUUCUACACAAAGUGGCAACUGAAGAACAAAGAAGCCAAAGUUAAUUGUUCCCUUUUUUUCCAAUUUUUUAACAUUGUUGUUACAUUAAUUGAAGUUGUAUUGAAGGAUGUAAAUCAUCAAUUUAAUGUUUAACACAG